GUGAGCUUGGCAUCGACCACUUAGAUGAGUUUAGUCGCCACAUUGUGUGGGGCAACACAGUUAAGCUCUACAAUCAUAAUGUUCUUAGACUGUGAAAGAUCAUCCACAACAUCACCACGCCUGAUCGCUACUAUGUGUGCCACAUGACAGAAACAUUUGCAACAGACAUCAAAAGAAUGUACUUUACGGUUCCCUUUUCUAUGGGUUCCCUUUUCCCACACAUGGAUGGUGAUCAGGGUGAACUGCCAAUCACUAUUGGAGAUGGAACUACUGCUAUCACAUCCAGCUUUAUCAAAGGUGUUGACAAAAGGGCCACCAUCACUAGAGGCUGGAGCGACUUCUUCCAUCGGGCACACAUGAACAAAGGGCAAGCAUAUGCUUUUGCCUUCAAAUGCACUUCCAAGGGAUUGUGCCUGAUCGUCUACAUAAGCAAGUUGCAAGAGCCCCUUGUUAUAUAACUUAGCAUUAGUAUAGAUGCCUACCAAGACUUCUAUGUUUAUCAUCCUUUUGGAUCUUAUGUAAUCACCUGAGACCAUCAUGUGCGUUUAACUAUCGGUUAUUUGUUGCUUAGACUGUUGUGUGGUAUGCUUUUCAAAUAGCCAUGAUGAAAGAAAUAUAUGCUUUCGCCUUGAA